CCAGACACGGGGUUUUUUUCACAGGUGUAAGCUCUCCAGAAGCAGCCGCUCCUCUCCGGAAUGUGGAAACGUGUCAGAGGCCAGCUGCCUGAGGGCCAGAACCCAGAGGCGAUCUUUUGUUUUGCACACCAUUUUCUUUGCAGCUCUUCCCGGGACCUUGCUGCCAGCCCUGCAUGCCCUGGGGCCCAGAUUCUCUGGACGCCCCCACAGUUCACAUGUGCCCUGGGCUGUGGCUUCUGCGGGGCACCCACCUCUGGGCCGGGCCACCACAGAGAAAUAAUAAACAGCAGCACUGCUUCCAGAGCCCUCUGCACCCGCAGGGCACGGUCUCACUUAACCCUCGAAACUACUGGUCCCACCAAGUAUUUAACGAGGGCCCGUUUGCGCUGGGGGUCGAGAAGGACACGGUGAUGCAUUUUGUGCUUCAGGAGCUCGACAAUUCAGCUGCAUGACUGUGAAAGUCAUCGAACUUCUCUGACCUUGUCUGACCGUGAGCAUCAGCUAUCCUCAGGGUGAGUUUCUACAGGGCAGCUGCUCUGAGUCCCUGAGUUGGAGGAGUAUGAGGAGACCACACAGUAGAACUACCUGCUGCUAGUAGAAAAACCACGACGCACAUGAGAUCCCUUGAUGAGCUACACAAUCUCAAGAUCUGUCUUCUGCCCCAGGGAGCAAUGUAAUCCUGCUCCGCUCCAGCUGUGCAAGGAACACAGGCUUGGUUGAAGAUCCCAAUCUGAAUCUUGGCUGGUUACCACCUUCUCUCCGGGUGACGGGUGACGCUGACUCUGAGCCCAGGGUCCCUGAGAGCACACCAUCACCCCAAACAACCGUCACCCAUGCGCACACACACCCAGACCUGCUCUCUCCGGCCUGUCAGGGAUCUGGUAAGGCAGGAAGAUGGCUGAGUCCGUUAAUGCCACCAAGCACAACACAUAUUUAUGGCCCCAAUUACAGGCUUCACCUUCCCCCGCCACCAAGGAGCAGAAAUAGCGACAGAACAGUUGUGUGCAGUGGGGUCUGAGGCCUCUGUAGCAAUAACUACAAGAUUACAGGGAUGUUAGCAAACCCGGGUGACGGCGGCUCUAUUAUAAUGAUAAAUCUACAGCUUUAUAUAGAAAUAACGAGACUGGGGUAGAAGGUGGGGGAGGGAAGGGCAGAGGGAUUUCAGCCAAUCGAAGUUCUAGGCGGAGGGAAACCGGCAAGCUGCUGGGAACGCCCAGGAGACCACCAGGGGCGCUUAGUCAAGCCAGGCAGGAGUGGGGGGCAGCAAGAGCGCGGGGGGGGGGGGGGCACCCCUGCCUGGGGCU